UACGUAGGUGACAAGCGUUGUCCGGAUUUACUGGGCGUAAAGAGCGCGCAGGCGGUCGUUCAAGUCGAGUGUGAAAGCCCCCGGCUCAACUGGGGAGGGUCAUUCGAUACUGAUCGACUCGAAGGCAGGAGAGGGUAGUGGAAUUCCCGGUGUAGUGGUGAAAUGCGUAGAUAUCAGGAGGAACACCAGUGGCGAAGGCGACUACCUGGCCUGUUCUUGACGCUGAGGCGCGAAAGCUAGGGGAGCAAACGGG
rnacentral:rRNA from 1 species